GCCGGACGUUGUACUGCUGAGUGUGCGAGGGGACGGAGGCGGCGCUAAGACUACAUCUCACAGAAUCCCCCCGACUAGGGUGCAGUGCCCGGGGAUUCUGGGAAAUGGAGUCCGGUCUGUCUCAGGCAGUGACAGCAGCUCUCAGGAGAAUUGCUUUCCACCCAGCAGUACCUGAGAUUGCCCUGAGCAGCAGCCACAUGCCACUGAUAGGCACAUCUAACAUAUCUGCUUCUCCCUUCACUAUAUUUGUAUCUAUCUCUCUGUACUCUAUGGGGGGGGCAUUCAGUUGAGGGGAAUAGGGAGGGUUAAAAACCCUGCGGCGCAAAGCUCUGGCGGAACCCCCUGAAAAUUAACCAAUUGGAAGUUUCCAGUUAGCUUAAUUAGGCUGUAAUUACUCACCUUCCAGAGGAGAGUUCUGUCUUUGAACGUCAGAAAUUGGCGAGGAGACGUCGAUUUCAGAUUUACCUCCUCCGCCCCGUUUGGGGUAGGUAUAAGCGCUGAUACGAGUGGUUACAGCUGUAGAUGGACAAAUAGAUGGCGGAACUAUGUAUGCGCGCGAAAUACCUGUGUUAGCUGCACUGCGGACCUGCGUGCGAAUCAGGCCCUUUUGUUUAUUCAUUUGCAAAGUAGUUUGUAGCCAUCUGCAAUCUGAUUAUGUAGAUUUGUGGCCAUCUAUGAGCUGCAAUACAUCAGGGAAUGGAAAUUCUGCAUGAAAAAAAACCCCCAAUUUACCAAUAACUCUUUUGGGCCCUACACACCUGCCGAUUUGCCACUGAGGUGCUCGACGGACGACCUGGGGGAAGGUGACGGGGGAGUGAAGUUUCUUCACUCCCUGACGUCACGCGGUCCAUAGCCUUGCAUGCUAAUAUGGACGAUAUUGUCCUUAUUGGCUUGCAGGCAUAAACGAACCGGCACCAACUAUGAACGAGCGCUGGGCCAUAAUCCUAAGAAAAUAAUCAAGAAUCAUGAGAAGGUGCAGUGCUGUGUAUCUCAUAAAGAUAUCUUAUUGUGGACAAUCUCUAAGCAGGCUCUAAGGAACCAUAGGAAGAUGUUGGGAGGAGGUUACAGAGGAACAGCUGGAGCAAUUAGCGGUGUCCUGGGAGGUAUCCCGAUUGCAUACAUCACAAUCAGGAUUAUAGCACAGAAUUGGAGGGUCCAUGUGUACAUAAGACCUAAAGUGCAUCCACCACACAGCAACAUCCAGCCCUUCAGGAGGUACUGGACCAAAACUAGAAUUCUGUAUUGCCCUUCGUUGCCUCCUCUGUCCUUGCAAAGAGGAGAGAACUCACUCCCUGCUAUUGCCUCGGAACUGCUCUCUACUGCUAGAUUGUAAACUCUAACUAGGAGUCUACUCCAUGUGUCACGUCUGGACCUUCACCUACCUCGAACGUCCUUGUUCCACGUUUAUUUUUGUACGAUUUGUUACACAAACUGUCCAACGCUGAGGAGAUGCGUCUCAUUUUACAGAUUAAAUUAUGAUCAUGGUCAUUUCCUGGGAACCGUUAUUAUACAACAGCGGGGCCAACAGCAAGAUCUGACAUGGACCGUCUGGCCCUGAGAAAGUAUGUCUGAAGAUUCCCAGUGCAGCCCAAGUAUGAAACCACCCCCACACAGGAGCAAUCAAAGCAACAUGUCUUCUGUCCCACGUCUCCACCAUCCAGGUAGACAGGUAUUGGUAAUGUGCUAUCCAGUGCCCCCCACUACUCCAUGCAACACCGUCUCCCCAAACCUAGGUGUAUACAGAGAAAGCAACACCUGUACUCCCCAGGUAAUGCACCGAGACGGGACAACACCUGUACUCCCCAGGUAAUGCACCGAGACGGGACAACACCUGUACUCCCCAGGUAAUGCACCGAGACGGGACAACACCUG